ensembl:lncRNA
AGAGAGAGCUGGAGAGGAGGACAGGAAGGCAGGCCAGGGCCAGGCCUCUGUGUAAGGAGGCAAAGGAGAGAGAGCCUUAGCAUGUUACACAAAGCAUCCUACACCCCCGGAAGGGAUGACAUCAUAGAGGCUUUAUCACUCUUGCUGUCAUGUGAAGAAUGGACCCUGGGGACAGAGGAGAGGAUGUUAAGAGUGGAAGCAGAAAGACAAGUUGGGAGGCUGUGGCCAUGAAUUACAGAGGAGAUAAUGUUACCUUGGACUAGGGUAAAAGCAGAGAAGGAGAAGCCAAAGGCGAGCACAAGUAUUGAAGGCCCCUCCCAACUAAACUUACAGACUGUAGAGCAACUCUGGGAAACCCUCCCCUACACCAGAGCUCAAGGAAGCCAUGUGCAAAUGAAAGGAAGAAAAAACGUGUGUGGAUCUGUUCUGAAGCUCCUGGGUUGCACCAUGACUUUGGGAAAUUCCUGAAACAGACCAGGCGAGAAAGGAGAGGUCACACAUCAGCAAAUCCAAGCAGAAGCCCACAACACAUAGAUUCUCUGGCUGGUGAAGUCUAAGGACAUUUGGAUCACACCAUAGUUCUCCCCCCCCCCCUCUUUUUGGCUUAAAACUCAGCAUUCGAAAAACAAAGAUCAUAGUAUCCAGUCCCAUCACUUCAAGGCAAAUAGAUGGGGAAACAAUGGAAACAGUGACAGACUUUAUUUUCUUGGACUCCAAAAUCACUGCAGAUGGUAACUGCAGCAGUGAAAUUAAAAGACACUUGCUCUUCAGAAGAAAAGCUAUGACAAACUUAGACAGCAUAUGAAAAAGCAGAGACAUUACCAACAAAGACCCAUACAGUCAAAGCUAAUGGUUUUUUCCAGUAGUCACAUAUGGAUGUGAGAGUUAGACCAUAAAGAAGGCAGAGCACCAAAGAAGUGAUGCUUUUGAACUGUGGUGUUGGAGAAGACUCUUGAGAGUCUCUUGAACUGCAAGAAGAUCCAACCCGUCUUGGAAGGACUGAUGCUGAAGCUGAAGCUCCAAUACUUUGGCCACCUAAUGCAAAGAACCAACUCAUUGGAAAAGACACUGAUGUUGGGAAAGAUUGAAGGCAGGAGAAGAAGGGGGUGACAGAGAAUGAGAUGAUUGGAUGGCA